AACGAACGCUGGCGGCAUGCCUAACACAUGCAAGUCGAACGAGACCUUCGGGUCUAGUGGCGCACGGGUGCGUAACGCGUGGGAACCUGCCCUUAGGUUCGGAAUAACUCCCCGAAAGGGGUGCUAAUACCGGAUAAUGUCUUCGGACCAAAGAUUUAUCGCCUUUGGAUGGGCCCGCGUUGGAUUAGCUAGUUGGUAGGGUAAAAGCCUACCAAGGCGACAAUCCAUAGCUGGUCUGAGAGGAUGAUCAGCCACACUGGGACUGAGACACGGCCCAGACUCCUACGGGAGGCAGCAGUGGGGAAUAUUGGACAAUGGGCGAAAGCCUGAUCCAGCAAUGCCGCGUGAGUGAUGAAGGCCUUAGGGUUGUAAAGCGCUUUUACCCGGGAUGAUAAUGACAGUACCGGGAGAAUAAGCUCCGGCUAACUCCGUG
rnacentral:rRNA from 1 species